rnacentral:rRNA from 1 species
GACGAACGCUGGCGGCGUGCUUAACACAUGAAAGUCGAACGAAGUGGCGAACGGGUGAGUCACGCGUAAUCAACCUGCCCUUCAGAGGGGGACAACAGUUGGAAACGACUGCUAAUACCGCAUACUGAAGGAGGGGAUUGCGUCUGAUUUGCUAGUUGGAGGGGUAACGGCCCACCAAGGUGAGGGUCAGUAGCCGUGCUGGUAGGAGGAACGGCCACAUUGGGACUGGGACACGGCCCAGACGCCUACGGGAGGCAGCAGUGGUGAAUCUUCCGCAAUGGACGAAAGUCUGACGGAGCAACGCCGCGUGAGUGAUGACGGCCUUCGGGUUGUAAAGCUCUGUUAAUCGGGACGCGGUACCGGAAUAGAAAGCCACGGCUAACUACGUGCCAGCAGCCGCGGUAAUUC